UUUUUUUUUUUUUUUUUUUUUUUUCCCCUGUCUAUAAUUCUAGAUGGUGAUUCCCUGAUUGUGCUGAAAUCUAAAAGAUCAGCCUGAGUACUUUGAGUUUAGGAAAGAAAAAAAAAAAAAAAAAAAAAAAAAAAAAAAAGAAAACCAGCAUGCUUCUCACCACAGCUGUAGUCAAGGGGAGGAAGCAGCAUCCCAUCUCAAAGAUAAUGCCAGAGUUCAUGUGAUCCCAAACAAGUCUUCAAAGGAAAAAUGCUUAGGCAAGAAUGGCUUGCAGAAGUACAGAUUCCAUUUUGGGAACGGCAGGGACCUGCUUGGGAGCAAGACCUGCUAGGAAUAGAAAAGGAAAACUAACAGCAUUUAGAUCAUUGCACUUCAGUGAGCAAAAGACCUCUGCAGGGCCUUUACAUGUCAAUAGCAGGGUAUGUGCAUGGGGAGAAAACGUCCAUUUUGGGAGACAGCUGGUCAGUAUACAAAGCUCAUAUUCAUUACCUUUCCAUUGCUGUUUCUCAGUCCUUACAGGCCCUGGACAUAAGGGAUGUAUCUGGAACAAUAUUUCCAUAUUGUUAUUGAUAGUAACAUACAGAAAAGUGUAGUAUCUAUAGCCAGAUUGCAAAGGUCUAAGCUCAGCAAUCUCAUUUGCUGUCUGUGUCAUCUCGGGAAAUCCACUUAAUUCCUCAGCCUAAAUUGCCACAUCUGAUUGACGUUAGGGUUGAAUGGAUUGCAUAGAAAAGUGUUUGGAAUAUGAGGACUAUAUACAUAUUAGCUGCUAUUAAUAUUAUUAAUUGGUGUUAUUUGGUCAAGACGGACUUCUCUCAGCAUACUCCUGUGUAGUAAGAAAAUGGGCAAAGUAGAAGAGAACUAAUUCCUCUUGAGUGAAGCAACAUUCUAAGAGCUUUCCUUACAACAUAUUGAAGCUACAUGGCCAUCAAGAAAGAUUGAUACUAUCAAUGGCCAUUUGGCAGAUAAAAAAAAAACUGAGGCUUAGGAAGGGAAAGCAACUGAUAAAGGUUACACAGCAACAAAGUGAUGGCUCAGAAUUUAAAUACUUCUCUGUCAUUUUUGAAGGCUUCUGUUCAUUUCACACAGUAAGAAGAAUUUUCAUAAAGCAUGCGUUUUAACUCUUUCUUGACCUUGAAAAGCAGGUGAUUAACUUCAUUUGAAGAAAUUGACCCCAAACAUAUUUCCUUUCUGUCUUUCAGUGUUAGGAGUAUAUAUUUCUUGGUGCUGGUUCUAAAGAAACAGGUUGGUUAAAUAACUAUUCAGAAACCAUUGGCAGGAGUAGAAGGCAGGUAGGGAGAUUCAGAAUUUCAAUAGCCAUGGUUGCCUCCUUCUUAGCUCUAGGGAUUUUAAAGGUAUAAAAAUGAGGUAGACCAUACCACAGUAGAGUCCACAAGCUGUCUUUGUUUCUGACAGCUUUAUUUCACAAAAAACAUUUGGAACUUCCUGUUUUCACAUGGACCCAAGCUUUGCUUUAUACACAUACCACAUAGAUAUUCAAGAUAUUGUUAAAUGAAAAGAUUAUAUGAAACACUGAAAUUGGUACUAGAGAGAGCUCUAAGAUAGGGAUAUAAUCUCUAGAAAGACAUAUUUUGUCUCCUAUUAAUGGGAUCACAUCAAAUGCCUAAGGCAGAAAGCAAUGUGAAGAGUUGUUUAAAUUUUCUUUCCUUUUAUGAAGACAAUUCCAGAGCUUUGUUUUAAAUAGGUAAUUACAUAUUCUAAGUCAGAAUCACUUACAUCUUUGUUCUUCAUUUCAUAGCUUACAAAUGAAAUAAAUUUAGGACAGAAGAUGAGACUCUAAUCAAGCUCUUAAGAGCUUCCCCUCCUACUACCAGUACUACUUCUGGUAUUGUUUCUACUACUGCUACUGAUGCUACCACUACUGAUGUUAACAUUAUAGUGUUCCUCAACAUUAUAGAGUUGUUAACACAUGCUGACAUUCUGUCGGGCACUUUACUUAGCUGAUUUAUUUCGUUGAACCCAAAAAAGUUCUAUAGGUGAAGAAGUUGAAGUGAAUUGAUUGUUAGAAAAAUCAAGAUUAUUCUCCUAGUAAAAUAGUUUAUCUCUUGGCUCUCUGGGAGUUGAAUUUUGACUCUGCCAAGUUAUCUAAAAAUUACUUUGGGUCAUUUGACCCCAUUCUGGGCCUCAAUCCCCUCUUCUAUUAAAUGCAAAUAAUAGGGUCUGCUACAUUGGAAAUGCUGUUAGGAUAAUGAAGGAGUUAUUAAAGAGAAAACACUUUGAACCAAGAACAAAUGCUACCUAUUAUUACUUAAUAUGAUCUGCCUUAGGUCACAAAGCUUUGUGUGACAUAAUUAAGCAAAAGCAAUUAAACCACAAAAGUUGAACAGAUGAAGCCUGAUUAUAGUAUGCUAGCUCUGAAAAUAUUACAGCCAGUGUAUCUAAAAUAAAUACUUAAUCAGAGCAGAAAUCUUAUUGCUUCUUGAAUGGGAGUGAGAAACUCAGCCAGUCCCAGAGACCUGUAGUAGUUGGAGUGAAGUUUCUGGAAGGGCACCUCCUCAUUGGAGGGAGCCUGAAUACUUGCUUGGCAGAGGCGCUACAUGAUGCCAAAGCCGUCACUAAUGAAGGUGUCUCCAACACUACCCACAUGUUUGCAUUUAAUAAGUGCAAGAGGAUUUUACUUGUUUGCGUAUCUGAUCAAAGCAGAAAACCUUACCAUAUAAAUAAUAUUUAACUUUAUUGAAAUUAAGAAUUAUAUAGAAGAGUACAUAAUUUGUUAAGAGUUCCUUCUUUAGGAGGAAUUUCUCUUAGUAACAAUUGCAUCCAUGAACAUAAGUAUUUUUAUUUGUGCUUAUGGAUGUGCCUAGUGUGUACAUCUACCUGCUAUGUGCAUAUGUGUACAUUUAUCUAUGUGUAUGUGUAUGUUUGCAGGUAUGCCUUACACAUUUGCUAAUUAAUAGUCCUUUACAUAAAUGCAUUAGAUUUUUGGUAACGGACUUUUUCAUAACUACAUGUUCACGAUGCACAUUUGUAAUUUCAAACAUGAUUUAUGUUAAAUAUAUUUUCUUAACCAUUUUUACAUUUACAAGAAUAAUUACAAUUUGGUUUAUUUAUGAGGGAAUUGAGGUUUAGGGAUUUUAAGUAAUUUACUGCAGGUCACACCCCUGUAGGUCCAUGUGGAACUAAAUCCUAUAACUUUUGAUUUGUGCUAUAUCUAGCUUACUUUUUUCAUACCUUGUUAUUACAUUUUAAGUUAAAUAAACAUCUCUCUCUCACUUUCCUUCUCUUAAUUAGUGAAGUAAUUAGGUUUUCCUAUAGGAUAAUAGACAUUAUUAUCACACUCUUGCUAUAUAUAUAUAUAUAUAUAUAUAUAAAUAUGCAUAUAAAACUAUACACAAUUUAUCAUACUUUGUUUUCAAGCAAAGCUGAAAUAACUUAGAUUUAGAUAAAUUCAGUAGCAUUUAUCAAGCAUCUAUAAUAUACCAUGUAGUCAGGAUAUACUCUUGAGGAUAAGAAUCUCACUAUCUUAUACUUAAGAUAAUUGUAAUAGUAAAGCUAUAUUCGAUAUGAUAGAUCAGGGAAUGGCUCUUUUAUGACUUUUGCCAUGAUGAUUUUAGGGGACUGUAUUCAUCUGAUAUGUUUUCUCACAGAAGAAUGGCAUCCCCCUCCCUUUUAAUAUAAACUCCAUGGAUAAGAUAAUUUAGAUUAGACAUCAUAAAACCCAUGAUUUUGCCCCUAAUAUUACAUACUAUGUAUAACUCCAAAGGUGCUUAUUAUAUGGUUCUGAAUGAGUAUAAGUUAUCUAACAUUUUAAAAUGCCAAACUCUGCAUUCUAACAUAUUAACAUUGAGCUAAUAGAUUCAUUUUAGAGUGUGUAAGUUCUUUAUUCUACAGAAAAGUCAACUCAUAACAAGUUAUGUGAAAUUAAUUUACCAAAAUCACAAAUUGAAAGAGACAUCAAAGUAUAGUAAUAUAUGAAAAUGCCAUCCCACUGUCAAUGAAGAGCUAAUAAUGAAAUUAUAAACAGUAUAAAAUGUAAU
rnacentral:lncRNA from 1 species